ACCCCUCUAAACAUGUGAACGUGUUACGUUACAUGGCAAGGGGGAGGGGGUGGAUUAAAUUUGCAGAUAGAAUUCAGGUUCCUAAUCAGCUGAUGGGGACAUGGAAAGGUUGUUCUGGAUUAACCACAGGGACUCAAUGGUCUAUGAGAGCAGAGAUCUUUGUUUGUUUCAUUCACUUCUGCAUCCCAUGUCCAGAACUGGAGCUGGCAUAAACCAAAAGGUGGAAACAACCCCAGUGUCCAUCAACGGAUGAAUGGAUAAACAAAAUACGGUCCCUCCAUAAAAUAGAAUAUUAUUCAGCCUUAAAAAUGAAGGAGAUCCUGACACCUGCUACAACAUGGAGGAAACUUGGGGACAUGAUGCUCAGUGAAAUAAACCAGACACAAAAGGGCAAAUGCUGCAUGAUUCCAGUUCUAAGAGGUCCCUUGAGGAGUCAUCCAUAGCGACAGCAGGUAGAUGGUGGGG